CAGAUAUCAGGAGGAACACCGUUGGCGAAGGCGGGUCUUUGGGCAGUAACCGACGCUGAGGAGCGAAAGCGUGGGGAGCGAACAGGAUUAGAUACCAUGGUAGUCCACGCCGUAAACGGUGGGUACUAGGUGUGGGUUUCAUUCAUUGGGAUCCGUGCCGUAGCUAACGCAUUAAGUACCCCGCCUGGGGAGUACGGCCGCAAGGCUAAAACUCAAAGGAAUUGACGGGGGCCCGCACAAGCGGCGGAGCAUGUGGAUUAAUUCGAUGCAACGCGAAGAACCUUACAUGGGUUUGACAUGCACAGGACGCCGGUAGAAUAUCGGUGCCAUUGUGGUCUGUUGCAGUGAGCAUGAGGGGCGAUCGUU
rnacentral:rRNA from 1 species